rnacentral:rRNA from 1 species
GAUGAACGCUAGCGGCAGGCUUAACACAUGCAAGUCGAGGGGCAUCAUUAUCUGCUUGCAGAUAGAUGGCGACCGGCGCACGGGUGCGUAACGCGUAUAGAACCUACCUUAUAUUGGGGGAGUAGCCCAGAGAAAUUUGGAUUAAUACCCCAUGGGAUCAUUAUUUGGCAUCAUUUAGUGAUUAAAGAUUUAUCGAUAUAAGAUGGCUAUGCGUUCUAUUAGCUAGUUGGUUAGGUAACGGCUGACAAAGGCAAACGAUAGAUAGGGGUCCUGAGAGGGAGAUCCCCCACACUGGUACUGAGACACGGACCAGACUCCUACGGGAGGCAGCAGUGAGGAAUAUUGGACAAUGGAGGCAACUCUGAUCCAGCCAUGCCGCGUGCAGGAGACUGCCCUAUGGGUUGUAAACUGCUUUUAUAGAGGAAGACCCCCGUUAUGUAUAGCGGUCUGACGGUACUCUACGAAUAAGGAUCGGCUAACUCCGUCG